CGAGUUGACGAAAGUUUUUUUAAACUUUAGUAGCGUACGGGUGAGUAAUACAUGAGAAUUUAUCUACCAAUUCAGAAUACUUUUAAAUUAUUUUAAAUUAAUACUGAAUAGAGGUAUUCUAUACAUUAUGCAUAACUAAGCUGCAUAAAGAGUACCGAAAAAUUAACUUCGUUGUUAGAGGAGCUCGUGGAGGAUUAGGUAGUUGGUAGGGUAAUGGCCAACCAAGCCUAUGAUCCUUAGCUGGUCUUAGCGGAUGAUCAGCCACAUUGGGACUGGAAAACGGCCCAAACUCUUUAUAGGGGCAGCAGUGGGGAAUAUUGGACAAUGGGCGAAAGCCUGAUCCAGCAAUAUCGCGUGAGUGAUGACGGUUAUUAUUUCUCUUUCUAAAAUGUCAAAGUUUUAGAGCUAUAAGAGAGGCCAAAACAUGCAAAUUGUUUUAGCCAUCAGAUUGUAAAACUCUUUCGUCGAAGAAGAUAAUGACAUUAUUCGAAAAAGAAACCCUGGCUAACUUCGUGCCAGCAGCUGCGGUAAAACGGGGGGGGUUAGUGUUAUUCAAAAUUACUGGGCGUAAAGGGUACGUAGGCAGUUCAUUAAGUUAAGAGUAAAAGCCUAAAGCUCAACUUUGGAAAUGCUCUUAAUACUGAUGUAACUUGAGUGUAAAAGAGGAUAGUGGUACUCUCAGAGUAAAGGUAAAAUUUGUCAAGAUUGACGAGGACCACCACGAGGCGAAGGCGACUAUCUGGUUUAUUACUGACUCUGAGGUACGAAAGCACGGGGAGCAAAAAGGAUUAGAUACCCUCGUAGUCCGUGCUGUAAACGAUGAAGG
rnacentral:rRNA from 1 species